rnacentral:piRNA from 1 species
GAAGCCGCCCUCCUCCCUGGCCCAGA